rnacentral:rRNA from 1 species
UGGGGAAUCUUGGACAAUGGGGGCAACCCUGAUCCAGCCAUGCCGCGUGAGUGAUGAAGGCCUUAGGGUCGUAAAGCUCUUUCGCCUGUGAAGAUAAUGACGGUAGCAGGUAAAGAAACCCCGGCUAACUCCGUGCCAGCAGCCGCGGUAAUACGGAGGGGGUUAGCGUUGUUCGGAAUUACUGGGCGUAAAGCGCACGUAGGCGGACCAGAAAGUUGGGGGUGAAAUCCCGGGGGCUCAACCCCGGAACUGCCUCCAAAACUAUUGGUCUAGAGUUCGAGAGAGGUGAGUGGAAUUCCAAGUGUAGAGGUGAAAUUCGUAGAUAUUUGGAGGAAUACCGGUGGCGAAGGCGGCCUCCUGGCUCGAUACUGACGCUGAGGUGCGAAAGCGUGGGGAGCAAACAGGAUUAGAUACCCCUGGUAGUCCACGCCGUAAAACGAUGAGCACUCGGUGCCGCGGGGUAUCGACCCCGUGCGGUGCCUGAGCUAACGCA